AGUUCUUCCUGAGAAAAGUACCAAGGCAUAGGUUCCUUAAGUGAUCUUAAAUUGUCUCGUAAGCAUUUUAUAUGUGGGAAGCACUUAGGAAAUAAAUGUUCAAUGAAUGAAUUAAUGAAGGAAUGAAUGCAAAAACAGCUAUGAAAAAAAGCUUAAAAAGAUUCUGCCUGCUUAUGCAAGAUGCUAAUCAUAGCAUUCCAGAAUGCUAAUGGAGAAUUAGCCCAUUUUGAAUUUUGGGAAGAGGACCAGUCUGACCAUACAUACACACUUUUCUCAGCACAUGACAGACAGUAGCAUCCUAGCAGCCAUCCUGUAUUUUGAAGAUGAAUGAGUGACACCAAGGAUGAGAAACCAAGAAGACCUCAUCCUUCAAAGUUCAUUCAUUUUUAUUGAAGAGUAAUAGUUUAUUGCAACACAGUGAAAAGGUAACCUACAGAAAGAGAGAAAAAUAUUUGCAAACUAUAUAUCCUAUGUUGAUUAAUUCCCAAAAUAUCUAAGUAAUG
rnacentral:lncRNA from 1 species